rnacentral:lncRNA from 1 species
UGCUUCCCUCCUCCCAUCUGGGCUGCAGACUGCCCUUCUCAGCGACCCCACCCUCACCCCGCCUUCCUCUUUCAGCCCCCACAAUGCAUCUGCUCCCUGCUGCCUCAGAGCCUUUGCCAACGCGGCCUUCCCUCCCUCGGCCAGGGGCUCCACCCACGUCCCUCCCCUCCCCUUUGCAUGGGUCCCAGCCCACGCGCCCCUCCCGCAGAGGCCCUCCUGACCUGAUGCCGGCUUCCCAUCGCCCCCGACCCCCACUCCCUUCGGCCAUCAGCGCUGGGCCCUCCAUGGGCCCUUGAGGCCCUGCUGCUGGGCUGGGCCUGCCUGUGUCCGGUCCUGAUGGCUGCUGGAUCCUCACCCCAGCCCGGGGCUGGGCGUGCAGGCACCUGUGAGCAUGUGCGCGAGUGCACGUGCGCGCGCACGCACACACACACACACACACACACACACACAGAGCCCAGGGGAGCUGACUGAACACGCGGCCUGGGAACACUGGCCAUGAGGGUGCAGGCUCAGGCCACGCACGACCCUGCGGCCCUCCGUGCUGCUGAGUCCACAGCGUCCUCUGCCCCCCCACCCCCCGAGGCCGGCUGGACCUGGGCCCAGACCAGGACCUUGCAGGACAGUGACUGCUUCCUUGCUCAGGGAGCUCUGGUUCCAGGGGUGAGGAUAAGAAUGCUCUUUUGGGGGGCUACCAUGCAGCCCACUGCGGGUUGGUGCUAUAGACACGAGGGACCUGCCUACUGCAAAAACAAAACCAAACCAGAUUCUGGAAUCUGAGAAGCGGAAGUCGCCCGAGGCCUCCUCUUAUCGCUUGGAGCCGGUGAGUGGGGAGCAGGCAGGCAGGCCUGGCCCCAAAGGCAGAUGCCCGCAGCUGUGGCCUGAGCACUGGGCCACACCAGCCCGAGGCUAUGGCUGGGCCGAGCCCUUCCCUGCCUCCAGCUCUGCGGGGUCCCUCCUGGCACAGGCGUGGUCCCUCCCAGCCUCCGAUUUGGAUCCACGGGGCCCCCAUAGGUCAAGGGCAGGAUCAGACUGCAAGCAUGUGGGUGGAGGGGACCGAGGAAGAUCCCGGGACCCGGGGACUCGGGACUGGUCAGAGUAGCGACGUGUAAGUGCAAAGGACAGGAGGGAGGGGUCCCCGCCCGCCCAGGGCUGCUCCUCCAGAAACACUGGUUGUCCACCUGCCCACGUGCAAAUCCCAGCCCCGCGCACAGCAUCUGCCUGGUGGGCUGAGCUCAUGGGGUUUUGGGCCCUUGGCCACGAUG